GACGAACGCUGGCGGCGUGCUUAACACAUGCAAGUCGAACGGAAAGGCCCUGCUUUUGUGGGGUGCUCGAGUGGCGAACGGGUGAGUAACACGUGAGUAACCUGCCCUUGACUUUGGGAUAACUUCAGGAAACUGGGGCUAAUACCGGAUAGGAGCUCCUGUUGCAUGGAGGGGGUUGGAACGUUUCGGCGGUUGGGGAUGGACUCGCGGCUUAUCAGCUUGUUGGUGGGGUAGUGGCUUACCAAGGGUUUGACGGGUAGCCGGCAUGGGAGGGUGACCGGCCACAUUGGGACUGCGAUACGGACCAGACUCCUACGGUAGGCAGCAGUGGGGAGUAUUGCACAGUGAGCCGAAGCCUGAUGAAGCAACGCCGCGUGCGGGAUGACGUCCUUCUGGUUGUGAACAGCUUUCGCCUGUGACGACGCGUGAGUGACGGUAAUGGGUAAAGAAGCACCGGCUAACUACGUG
rnacentral:rRNA from 1 species